rnacentral:rRNA from 1 species
GCUUACGGCCAUACCAGCCUGAAUACGCCUGAUCUCGGAAGCUAAGCAGGGUCGGGCCUGGUUAGUACUUGGAUGGGAGACCGCCUGGGAAUACCAGGUGCUGUAAGCU